UUUUUCCUGCAACUCUCACUGGACGUCUGAAGCUUUGCAAGAGCUUUCUAGACAUGUGAAGCUUUGCAAGGUAUUUCUGUUUCUGACUUCAUCCAGAUUAAGUACUUCAACAAUGGAUUUAGACGUUAUAUAUCCUAUGCUUUUAAAUAAGUGAAAUUUAGAAUCCUAUGUUCAUCUAUGAGGCUCGGAUCGUUUGAAUAUUCUCUAAAGUUCGCGACUAUACUUUUAAGAUUCAUGAGGAAAUAGAAGACAACUGGGAUGGGAAGAGAUAAUCAAGAAGGGUGGAUAUAUCAGCUUAUUCGGGAUCAGGUGCGAAUGAUCGUCAUAUGCUAAUGCCUACUUUAUAUAACUAAUACCUGGAAAAUAUUGAAUAUGCGGUUGUACAUUGUAUCAAACACAUAAUACACUUGGAUUUUCUUUUAUUGUAUGUGCCUAAAUAAUGGCUAACUUGGUUGUAUCUGGAGUUGAUAAUACUUUUGUUGAUU
rnacentral:lncRNA from 1 species